rnacentral:rRNA from 1 species
UACGGAGGGUGCAAGCGUUAUCCGGAUUCACUGGGUUUAAAGGGUGCGUAGGUGGGCAGGUAAGUCAGUGGUGAAAUCUCUGGGCUUAACUCAGAAACUGCCAUUGAUACUAUCUGUCUUGAAUACCGUGGAGGUCAGCGGAAUAUGUCAUGUAGCGGUGAAAUGCUUAGAUAUGACAUAGAACACCCAUUGCGAAGGCAGCUCGCUACACGGUUAUUGACGCUGAGGCACGAAAGCGUGGGGAUCAAACAGG